CCUACGGGAGGCAGCAGUGGGGAAUAUUGCACAAUGGGGGGAACCCUGAUGCAGCAACGCCGCGUGGGUGAAGAAGUACUCCGGUAUGUAAAGCCCUGUCAGCAGGGAAGAAAAUGCCGGUACCUGACCAAGAAGCCCCGGCUAACUACGUACCAGCAGCCGCGGUAAUACGUCGGGGGCAAGCGUUAUCCGGAUUUACUGGGUGUAAAGGGAGUGUAGAGGGCAAGGCAAGUCUGGAGGGAAAGCCCGGGGCCCAACCACGGGACUGCUUUGGAAACUGGGUUGCUGGAGUGCAGGAGGGGUAAGCGGAAUGCCUAGUGUAGCGGUGAAAUGCGUAGAUAUUAGGAGGAACACCGGUGGCGAAGGCGGCUUACUGGACUGUAACUGACGUUGAGGCUCGAAGGCGUGGGGAGCAAACAGGAUUAGAUACCCUAGUAGUC
rnacentral:rRNA from 1 species